UGGGUUCAGGUUGGGAGUCUGUUGCAACCCAGAUUGCUGUGCAACCAACUGCUCAGCUGACAGUGGACUUUGUUACUGCCGUGAUUUUAAAUGAAGCAGAUCGCCGGGUGCUAGCUGCAUGGGCAAGGGGAGUCUUCACAGACGUCAUCCCAUAGUGCAGUGGAACCACCAGAUGGCGCCAAAGCUUUGAAGGCAGUGAAAUGCUACUCGUGUGGACGUCUAGGCCAUAUGAAGAGGGAAUGCAGACAUCCCAGGGCCAAGACAGAGCAGCGCAGCGAAAGCUCAUCGCGCGGAAAAGGCCGAGGCAAAGGCAAAGGUCCGGUGUCUAGGACAACGCAGCACAAGGCUAUGGUUUCACGCUUCACUCCAAAGGUUGCAGAGGUCCAGAAGACGUCUAGAUCUUUCUUCGUUGUUGAUUCAGCGGCCACCCACCACAUGUGCAACGAUAAGAGACUGUUUGUGUCUUUUACACCGCAGGAAGGUGCGAUUCACCAGGCGGAUGACCACACUAUUCCCAGUAAAGGCUACGGAACUGUUGUUCUUCACAGUUUGGACUUAUCGAUACAGAAUGUGCUUUACGUGCCAGACGCCAAACAUAAUCUGCUCAGCGUUGGACAGCUGAAUGAGCGGAACAUUGACGUUUCUUUCAAGAACAAGAAGUGCAUCAUCACAAAGAAAAAUGAUUAUGUAUUGCAUGCAGAAUAUGUUGAUCGUUUGUUUGUUUUGAAUUAUGAUGAUGUGGUGCAGGAUGACACUUGUUGCAUUGCAGGUUCUAACAAAAGUUUGCAUGCAGAAUGUAUUCACGAUUUUCAUAGAAAAUUUGGUCAUUUGCACUUUGAGGCAGUAUCUAAAAUGCCUGCCUUGGUUGAAGGUAUGACUAUUAAACCCUGCAGGUACCACAUGAAGUGCAAAGCAUGCGCAGCAAACAAGGUCAAAAUGGCUGCGAAAGGUAAGGUGUCUAGUAGGAAAGCUACAGAACCAUACCAGGUUGUUCAUGCUGAUUUGGUUGGACCACUAGCGCCCUCUUUGGGUGGAAAUAGAUACUUCAUGGUUCUCAUUGAUGCAUUUUCUAGAUAUAUUUUUGUGUACAAUCUCAAGCAGAAAUCAGAGGCUUUUCCUAGGUUCAAGGAAUUCUGUGCUUGGUUGGAAAAUGUGCAUGGUAAGAAGAUAAAGACUCUUUUCAGUGAUCGCGGGGGGGAAUUCACUUCUCAGCAGUUUGAAGCUUUUCUGACUGAGAAAGGAAUUCAACACGAUUUGUCUAGUCCUCGCUCGCCAUGGCAGAAUGGACUUGCGGAACGGGCAAAUCAGACAUUGCUUCAAGGGUUAAAAACCUUGCUGCAUGAUGCCAAUCUUCCAGAGAGUUAUUGGGCCGAAUCUCUCUCGUGUUUUGUUUACAGUUACAAUCGCAGGUUAUCUUCAGCGAUUGGUUGUACCUCUAUGAGAAGAUGUUUGGCAAGAAGCCAUACAUCAAACACAUGAAGAUUUUUGGUUCUGACAUGUGGGUUCGCUCACCACAAAACUCCAAGUUAGACAAGCGUGGAUUGCAUGGUAUCUUUCUAGGUUAUCAGAAAGGGUCUUACAGAAUAAUGAUGACUGACUCUAAGACAAUUAAGCUCACGAGAAGUGUUGAGUACAAUGCAAAGUGGGGGAGAAUGUGGGAAUUUUCCAAUGUUAUCCUGAUGACGGUGAUGAGACUGAGGAUAGUCAAAAGCAACCACAACAACCCACACCCACUGAUGAAGGUUCUGAGUCUGAAUCUGAAACUGAAUCGGGUGAUUCAGAGGAUUUCGAGAGUGCGAAAGCCUCUAUGCGACCCUCUGAAAGCUCUGAUCAAGAAUUGGAGGAACCAUUGUUCACAAUAGGUCGUUUUUCUCCUAAGAAGGAAGAGGAGAGUGUUGAAGACUUAAGGCUAAUUCGUAGGUCACAGAGAGCCACAAAAGGCAAACCUCCAAAGAGAUUUGCUGAUGAGUUUGCUACGAUAGCAGUAACAGCUGUUAAAAGCUCCAAGAAGGUAUUUGAACCUUCAAGUUUCCAAGAAAUCCAGGGUUUGGAUUCGAAGGAAGCUGAGCCAUGGUUAAAUGCCAUGAAGGCUGAGCUUGAUUCCUUAGAAAGGAACAAAACAUGGGAGCUAGUUCCAGUAGUUCCAGGAAUGAAACUGCUUGGAAGCAAAUGGGUCUUCAAAGCGAAGACAGAUCAAAAUGGCAAGAUAGUCAGACACAAAGCCAGAUUGGUAGCCAGAGGUUUUGCACAGGUACCAGGUCAAGACUAUCACGAGACCUAUUCACCCACAGUGAGAUAUGAAAGCAUUAGGCUUAUGCUCAAGCUAGCUGCAGAGGAAAAUCUACACAUUAGUCACCAUGAUAUUAAUACAGCUUUUCUGUACGGAUCUCUAGAUGAAUCACUUUAUAUGCUUCCACCUGAUGGCGUACAGGUAAAACAGGGAUUUGUUUGUGCUCUGAAGAAAUCCCUUUAUGGUCUCAAACAAAGUGCACGGUGUUGGCACACAAAACUCACUGAAGUAUUGUUUUCUCUAGGUUUUCAGCAAGGGAAAGCUGAUCCAUGUGUAUUUGUCAAAGAGGAGGGGCAAAAGAAACUGUACUGUUUGUUUUAUGUUGAUGAUUUAUUAUUCUUUUGGAAAGAUGUCGCAAUGUACAAUAGCGCCCUAGCUCAACUGAAAGAGCACUUUGACAUGAAAGAUCUUGGUGAGGUAAACAACUACCUAUCUCUGGAAAUAGAGAGAGAUCAAGAUGGUAACAUUCUAGUACACCAGUCACGGAAAAUUGCUGAUGUGUUAAGCAAACUAAAUCUGAUGGAUGCUAACCCUGUAGACACACCGAUGACAACAGGUUAUCAGGUAGAUGACACUGAAGAAGCAUUUUCUGACACUACACUGUACAGGAGUGUGCUAGGCAAGCUAAACUUCAUUGCCAGAUGUUCAAGACCAGACAUUGCUGUUAGCUGUAAUUUGCUAAGCAGACAAGUCAACAAUCCUAGUGUCAAGCACUGGAAAGCUCUGAAACGCAUAGCGCGGUAUUUGAAAGGCACUAUGCAUUACAGACUGAGAUUUAACAAUCAGAAGUCUGGUGGUCUUGAGAUAUUUGCAGAUGCAAGUUUUGGAAGUGACGCUACAGACAGGAAAAGUACGUCUGGAGUUUGCUACAUGUACAAUCAGAGUCUGUUUGAUUGGUCAUGCAAGAAGCAAACAACAGUUAGCUUAAGUACUUGUGAAGCCGAACUGAAUGCACUGUCUUAUUCACUUAAGGAUUGUGAAUGGUUAGUACAAUUGUGCAAAGAUAUGAAAAUUCCUGUCAAAUGUCCAAUCCAGGUUUACCAGGACAACAAAGCAUGUUUGGCUUUGCUGAAGUCUGAAGGUUGUAAGCAAAGCACAAAGCACUUGCAAUUAAAGUUGCAGCAUGCUAGGGAAUGUAUUCAGAAGGGACUCGUAACGGUGUCCUAUAUGCCAGGUAAUGAAAUUCCUGCUGAUGUAUUGUCCAAGAUUGUAUCGAGGGAUCAACACUGUACCUAUGUGCAGAAGUUGGGUUUGUACUGAUAUUGUACAAACACGCUGCCCAGUGAUGUUCACAGAAAGGGGAGGAUGUUGGUUUCUGCUUUCCUUCACUGUGCAGCUACAGUGCUUGUCACGAGACAGGUGUUUACAUUCCACAGUCUGUACUGUUGGAGUUUCUCACGGGAAAGGGAGGCUGGAUGUGACGUACACUGGUUUCCUGUUUUUCACUGUGUGAUUCUCUCCGAGCUGUCGAGGAGAGAGGAUGCAUUUUCUGCUCCGGCAGAGGCAAGAUGUCUUUCUGUAAUAUACCAGCUUUGAACUGUAAAUAAAGCAAUAUAGAGUAUGCAGCACGUACUCCUCAUCCUUCCGCUGGGCACGAGACUCUGCUUUAAAU